rnacentral:lncRNA from 1 species
AUUGCAAUUGGAUUUCCUUGGAUGAGAGACUCUUUCGUGGCUCUUGGUUUUGUGUUGGAGGUGAUUGGAUUGGAUUUGGACUUCUAAAAAUUCGGAUUUCUGUUUUCUGUCCAUUUUCCCGCUCUGCUGUAAGUUUCUGCUGUCAAAGUGAUUUGCCCGGUGAUUUGAGCGAGCAGUGGACAAAUCACUGGGCAAAUCACUGCCUCUGUGAGUCAGUCCUCUAUGUCUCUGCGAGUGAUUUGGCCAGUGAUCUUCGAGUGUCUGGGGCAAAUCACUUGGCAAAUCACUACUGCUUAUUGCCUCCGGGUUUCUGCUUUAGCUUGAUCUGGGCAGUGAUUGGAGCAGAUAUCUGGUGAUCUUGGGCAAAUCACUGGGCAAAUCAUCCUUUUGUGAAUUUUCUGCACUUUUUCUUCCAUUUUUCAAUUUCUUCUUUUUCU